GUCAGGUGUGCUGAGCUGCAGACAGGUGAGCUCUGUAAGGUGAGGUCAGACAGGUGAGGUCUGUACAGGUGAGCUGCAGACAGGUGAGGUCAGACAGGUGAG